AACGAACGCUGGCGGCGCGUUUUAAGCAUGCAAGUCGAACGGUAGCGGUAGCAAUACUGCGAGAGUGGCGCACGGGUGAGUAAGACGUAGGUGAUCUACCUUUGGGUGGGGGAUAGCCCAUGGAAACAUGGGGUAAUACCGCAUGAGGCCUUGAGUGUAAGGGCUUGCGGUUAAAGGAGCAAGUGUUCCGCCUGGGGAUGAGCCUGCGGUCCAUUAGCUAGUUGGCGGGGUAAAGGCCCACCAAGGCUACGAUGGAUAGCCGGCCUGAGAGGGUGUACGGCCACACUGGGACUGAGACACGGCCCAGACUCCUACGGGAGGCAGCAGCUAAGAAUCUUCCGCAAUGGGGGAAACCCUGACGGAGCGACGCCGCGUGGGCGAUGAAGGCCGGAAGGUUGUAAAGCCCUUUUCUUGGUGAAGAAUAAGGUUGGCAGUGGACUGGCCAGCCGAUGACGUUAGCCGAGGAAUAAGCCCCGGCCAAUUACGUGCCAGCCGCCGCGGUAAAAC
rnacentral:rRNA from 1 species